rnacentral:rRNA from 1 species
ACGCUCGACACCUACGGGAGGCAGCGGUGGGGAAUAUUGCACAAUGGGGGAAACCCUGAUGCAGCGACGCCGCGUGAGCGAAGAAGUAUUUCGGUAUGUAAAGCUCUAUCAGCAGGGAAGAAACUGACGGUACCUGACUAAGAAGCACCGGCUAAAUACGUGCUAGCAGCCGCGGUAAUCUGAGCGGGCUGGCAAGGC